CCGGCGCACGGGUGAGUAACACGUAUGCAAUCCACCUGUAACAGGGGGAUAACCCGGAGAAAUCCGGACUAAUACCCCAUAAUAUGGGCGUUCCGCAUGGAGAGCUCAUUAAAGAGAGCAAUUUUGGUUACAGACGAGCAUGCGCUCCAUUAGCCAGUUGGCGGGGUAACGGCCCACCAAAGCGACGAUGGAUAGGGGUUCUGAGAGGAAGGUCCCCCACAUUGGAACUGAGACACGGUCCAAACUCC
rnacentral:rRNA from 1 species